ACGCCCAACAGCUAGCCCACCUAAACAAUUUCAACAAACCCCUGUUAAUACCCCCUAAAUACCCCAGUAUUUAAAUUAAACAAACCAUUUUUCCCCCUUAGUAUAGGCGAUAGAAAAGGGCCCCCGGCGCAAUAGAGAAAGUACCGCAAGGGAACGCUGAAAGAGAAGUGAAAUAACCCAGUAAAGCCUUAAAAAGCAGAGAUUUAAACUCGUACCUUUUGCAUCAUGAUUUAGCAAGUGUACCUCAAGCAAAGAGCACUUUAGUUUGACGUCCCGAAACUACGUGAGCUACUCCAAGACAGCCUAUUAAUAGGGCGCACCCGUCUCUGUGGCAAAAGAGUGGGAAGAGCUUUGAGUAGAGGUGACAAACCUACCGAACC
rnacentral:rRNA from 1 species